AAGCCCUUUCCGCGCGAUAAACCGGCGAUACUGUUUGAGUGAUAUCUACCACAGCUCCAUGAUCGAUUGAUUGAUUGGUUACAAUUAAAAGUCCUAUUGGCGUUCUUCAACCAAUUUUUAAAACAGUAACCCAGAUACGUAUUUAGCAGCUGCAGUUUUGCCCCUUCCCAGAAAUUAUGUAUUACAUCAUGCUGAAUGAAAGGAAGAAAAAAAAAAGAGAAAAAUUAAAGAGGAAGAAGGGGGAGAGGGUCAUUCACACAUGAGAGAUACAAAUCCAAACUGACAAAAUCCAUUAAGUUAAUCAAAGAGUAAAACAACAACAAUAAACAAGAAGGGGGAAAAAAAAAAUUCAAAUAAAUAACCCUAUGGAUAUCAAUGAACAUUUCUUCUUCAAUCAAUACAUAUAAAGAUGGUUAUGUGCUGCGUAGCCAUAAAAAACAUAAAAACAUCAUCACAUAUACAAAACAAAAAGGGAUUUAGAGGUUUUUGGUGGGAAGACGAAGGAGAUGAUUUCA
rnacentral:sRNA from 2 species